UCCUGCGUGCUCUGGAAGAUGUCCCUGGU
rnacentral:piRNA from 1 species